UUUUUUUUUUUAGGUUGAAAUAGAGGUCUGGAAACCAAGUCUUUAUAGGAGCAUUCUCGGAGGUCUUAUUUAAGACCUCUUGAUUAUUAAAAUUAAUUAUCUGUCAGGUCAGGCUAAAUGGCCGGUGGGGGUUAGCGUCAAAAACUACACUAGAGACGGCGCAGGGAAGAAGGGCAAACAAUAAGCAAGGAGUUAGAUACGAGAGAGUCUUAUCUUGAGCGGGUCCGCGGAGCGUCGGAGUUUCCAUGUCUCAAGUGGUGUUGGUCCGGACGUCUCUGGAGCAGCCUUGGCGUGGGAUGCGUGGAUCUAAGUGGAGAUUCCGUCAACCUUUAUGGCUGUGGGCGUGGUCAGGAGAACAAUGUAGGGUCCUUUCCACCGAGGCUUUAGUCCUUGAGUACGGUGCCGUCUAACGUAGACAGAGUCUCCCACCUGGAAGGGGUGACUGGUCUGUGGAUGUCCUGGUUGGUACAGUUCUGCCAAGGGGGCCCAGAUUUGGGCCUGUACUGCUUGGAGUCCUUUUAGCCGAGCCUGUAGGUCAGUUUUAGGAUCGGAGGGGGAGAAGGAGUUAAGCAAGGUUGACAAAGGGGGAGGUCCUCCGUAGAGGAUUUCAUAUGGAGUGAGCCCAAAACGGUUAGGUGUAUUUUGGGCCUUUAACAGAGUUAAGGAUAGGAGGCAUCUCCAAUCUUUUAAACCAGUCUCUAAGGUCAAUUUAGUAAGGGUCUCUUUUAUUGUUCUAUUCAUUCUUUUUACCUGUCCUGAGCUCUGGGGUCUAUAGGCACAAUGUAAUUUCCAAUUAAUCCCCAAUAUCCUGGUGAGCCCCUGACUUACCUGAGAAACGAAGGCCGGCCCAUUAUUUGACCUAAUUACCUUGGGAAGUCUGAAUCUAGGAAAGAUUUCUUCUAAAAUUUUCUUGGCUACUAUGUGUGCCGUUUCUUGCCGGGUGGGGUAGGCUUUUACCCAUCCUGAAAAGGUAUCUACAAACACCAGUAAGUACUUAUAUCCAGCAUAGUGAGGUUUUACUUCAGUGAAGUCUAUUUCCUAAUAGACUCCUGGGCGGUUACCACAAGUUCGUUUCCUUUCUGGCACUCGGGUAGCCCCAGUGUUUACCUGCUGACAGACCUUACAGGCAGAUGUCACUUGUUCUACGAGGGUACUUGCCUUUGGGAUUAGAAAGUCAGUUUUUUCAAUCAGUAAUUUUAGCUUUUGAUUACUCAAGUGUGUCCAGGCAUGCAUCUGCUGGAUCAUUGCCAGGGCCUCCUUUUGGGGAAGGACUAUUUUUCCUCCUUUUUCCUAGUUUUUAGUGUCUUUGUUCUUUAUAGCCCUUAUGGCUUUUGCUUUUUCCUGGUCUUCUGGGGUAUAAGUAUGUUCAAUAGUUAUGUGGCUGGUUUCAUUCCACCGCGACUGGAUCCUGUCCUUUCUGAUGCCCGGGGCAGUGAAUUAUAGCCACUUCUUGAGGAAGAAAAAGGGCUUUUAAUAAGGCAAUUAUUUCAACUUUGUUCUUGAUUUCCUUUCUUUCUGAGGUUAGGAGACCUCUUCUUUCAUAGAUACUUCCAUGAGUAUGAGCCGUUGCAAAGGCAUACCGGCUAUCAGUAUAAAUGUUAGCUUUCUUUCCCUUGGACAGCUCUAGGGCCUUGGUUAGUGCUAUUAACUCAGCCUUUUGUGCAGACGUGCCAGGAGGUAGUGAUUGUGCCC
rnacentral:lncRNA from 1 species